CCCCCAAAUAGGGUCACCAGCGACCCGAUCCACAACCAGCGACACCCGCCGUUUGACGAACUGCUUAAAGACACAUAAAGCCUCGCGCUAACUGCUCCACCUGCUCAGGUGUGCGUGUUUUCUCAGGCUAGCGAAACAUCCCGUUUCUCUCGCUUUAAAAAGAUGGCGGGCAAGCCCAGGCUAAAUGUAAGCUAGCUGGCUAGCUAAAGCAGCUAGGCUACUUACCGGAGACGUAAACGUCAUAAAUAGCGUUAAUAGCCGUCGUGUUGGCGUCUGAGCGCGUGCAGAAGGUGAUAUCUGGACGGGUGUUUCGGUAACAAGCGGCUCACCGGGGCGAUUAACGCGCUCACCGAUCCGUUGCUUGCAGAUGUUCCCGCUAGCUAAUGAGCCGUUAGCCUGUUAGCUGAGCUUUGUCUGAAGGCGCCGAGCGGCCAUCCAGGAUCCGACACACGGCGACUCAUCCCGUACGGCUCCUGCUCCCAUUACCCGUUAACCGCACCGGUACCGGUCGGAGAGGGGAUUCACUUUGUGGCUCGGUCCUCCGGGAAAUCCAGCAGUGGGCUCCGAUUGAACAUCAUCAUCUUCCUCUUCAUCAUCGUCACCAUCAUCAUCCUCCUCAUUAUAGUCAUCAUUCUCAAUAUCCUCAUCAUCUUCAUCAUCACCAUCAUCCUCCUUACCACCACCACUACCAUCAUCACCAUCUUCAUCAUCAACACCUGUGUGCUGGACGUCAGGAGGCUGUUAACAUGCAGCUGAGCCGGGCAGACAGACAGGAAGACAGACGGAUAACGGAGGAAACAGACAGACAGACAGAGGUAGGUCAGACAGAACGGACGCCAAAGGGGGGCAGAGAGGUAGACAGCUGGGCAGGUAGUCAAGUAGGGGAACAGACAGGUGGUCGUCAGGCAGAGACAGGCAGGUAGAUAUGAGGACUGUCUCAGG
ensembl:lncRNA